rnacentral:lncRNA from 1 species
AUCUCCCAUGAGGAACUUCCCUUGUGAAAGUUAGAGGGCUUGGAGGGAAGGAAUCCUGGUUAAGGGGAAAGCAAUCUGGACCCUAAAAUAUAGCUGAGACCUGACUCAUGGAGGAGGGAGAAAGAGUCUUGAUUUGGAGUGAAGGGCUGAGCCUCAGUGCCGGGACCACCGCCAGGCUGCCAGGCAGAAGGGGCUGCAGCUGGAUCAGCGGGAUGAAGACUGGGAUGCCAAGAAGAGGGAGAUGGAGCUGUCGCUUCCUUCCUGGAAUCCAAACCCUGAGAAGAAAAAGAGUAAGAAACAUCGAGGGUCCACCAAGCUCAGCAACACUAAGGAGAGGAGAGCGUGAGAGGAUGGCCUCCGAGGGAUGGGAGCCUCUGAGGGAUGGCAGGAGACUUUCCCUGGUGCCAGAAUGGUUAUUAGGUAUGUGUCCUCCUGCUCCAUCCUAGACCAUUAAUUAUCCAGACAGCUUCUACCUGUAUCUCCUGACCUAUCAUUCAGCCUGGAAGUCUUGCCUGGACUCUCUACAUGGGCUGUCCCCUCCUUGCUAAUACCUGCUUGUCCCCAAGAAUGACCAGGAGGGAACAAAUGUGAUUUGCACUGUCGUCACUGCUUUGUACUGUCAGCAUCUCCUGAGCCCCUCAAUGCAAUUCUAGAGCUCCAGGCGCAAAGAAAAAUCUCCUCCUGAGGAAACUUCAUUGUUUCAAUGCAAAAAAAAAAAAAAAAAAAAAAAAAAAAAGCAACAACUGUAUCUGAAAAAUCUUCAACAUUCUCAGGUCAGUUAAUCUAUGAACAAAAGUUUGUUGUCACAUAGACCAAGCACAAAGAGGAAGAGAUGGGUCUUAGUUUCCAGCUAUUUAUUCUUAUGAGGGAUAGAAAACCACAAUUUCAGCAGGGCCAUUUUUACCACCAAUCCCUUCUACGUAGGAGAAAACAACCCGGACAAUAGACCAGCUCAGUGAGAAAUAAAAACCUUGGUUUAAUCUCUUCCCACUUAAUAAUGACACAUGGCAUAAAAUAAUGGAACAUGUGAUGACAGCUCUGUUUGAUCAGUGGUAUAUUUUAGAAAAUCUAAAUACAGAUCAGAUGCUGCCAAUGAAAAUAUUGCAUUGGCAUUGAGAUGCACUGUAAAUGUAAAAUGCGUAUUAUAUUUUGAAGACCUAGGAUAAAAAAUCAUGAAUCAUUAAUAAUAAUUAAUACUAAAUGUUAAAAUUUUUUUUUGGUCUUUUUGUCUUUUCUAGGGCCACACCCGUGGCAUAUGGAGGUUCCCAGGCUAGGGCUCUAAUCGGAGCUGUAGCUGCCAGCCUACACCACAGCCACGGCAACGAGGGAUCUGAGCCGCAUCUGUGACCUACAUCACAGCUCACGGCAAUGCCGGAUCCUUAACCCACUGAGUGAGGCCAGGGAUCAAACCCAAAACCUCAUGGUUCUCAGUCAGAUUUGUUAACCACUGAGCCACAAUGGGAACUCCUAUUUUGGAUAUUAUAUUAACUAAAAGGUAUUACUAACAUAAAUUUUACCUUUUAUCUUUUCAGUUUUUUUUUAAAAUGUGUCUAGUAGACUGUUUAAAAUUAUAUAAGUGGCUCCCCCCCACCCCCACCCCCGCCAUCAGAUAGCAGUGCAGUAGAAACUGAACCAUAUUUAGAGCCUCCACCAGGCAGCUGGGCUGGAGCACUUGAAGUGGCUAGUUUCUAGUUCUGCUUCCUUACUCAGAAAAUCAGCGAUACCGCUUUCAUAAUGAGUUCCUCUUUUGCUGACAGUAUGGUGAAUUAAUUGUUUUCCUCCUAAAACCAGUCUUUCUUAGUAAGCACAACCUUUAAAGAUCACAGACUUAUGAGUUAAGCAGACUUAGGUUUGUAUCCUCCUCUAGGAAAUAAGCGAAAUAAUCCUUACUUCCUGGGAUUGCUGUGCAGGAUGAGAUGAUGCAUAAGGUGCUCGCAGCGGCACUCUGUAACUGGUCCAGGUAAUGGCUAUUGUAUUACUAUAGGAGUGAGUUCAGCUUUUCUUGAGAAUUCCAAAGGGAUCCAGGAAGGAUGCCUGGCGCUCCAUUGUCCAGGCGCUCCAUUGUCCAGUCCAUAAAUAUCCCCUGCCUAGUUUCAUAGCAUGGAUAAGAGCCUGCCUUCCACUGUCUGGAAAGACCUGGACCAAACACUGGUAAAUGUUCUUAGGGUCCUUUGCUGGGUCCAUAACCCCCUGCCACCCAGCAUCCUCACUGAGUCCCCCUUCAAUGUUAACCUCAUCAAAGCAUGAGGAGAAGUUUAUUUCUUGUCCCACCAGUUUUUGUACAGUUUAUGAGGACCACAGAAAGAGGACAUGGAAAUAGCUUCCUUGUAUGAAGAAUCUGUUGGGAUGCAGAUUCUGUACUAAGCACUAUAUGUGCAUUAUUUCGAAUCUGCAUGACACACCUGCAAGGUGGAUAUCAUUGUCCCCAGUUGACACCACAAACUAAAAUUCUGAGAGGUUGAGUGACUUUGUCCUAGGCCACCUAGCUGAUGCUUAUAAAACCUUUAAAGUAUGCCUGAAUUGGGUGGAGCGCUAACCCUUCAGGCUGUGUGAGCUCGGGUGGGUUGCUUAACUUCUCUGUUUUCCCUGUCUGUAACUUGGGGAAAAUACAGUGUGUCAUGAGGAAGACAAUGAGAUAAGCAUCACACAUUUAGUAUAAAGCUCCCCUAUUGAAGGGUCUUUAAAUUACAUGGAAAUCUUUUCUUGGCCAUUGAAAUUUUUCAUAUCUUAGUAUUUUUUUUUUUUUUUUUAUUUUAACAGCUGCACCUGCAGCAUGUGGAAGUUCCCCGUCUAGGGGUUGAAUUGGAACUGCAGCUGCAGACCUACACCACAGCCAUGGCAACCCUGGAUCCAAGCACAGCUUGUGGCAAUGCCGGGUCCUUAAUCCACUGAGUGAGGCCAGGGAUUGAACCCGCACCCUCAUGGACACUAUGUCAGGGUCUUAACCCACUGAGCCACGGUGGGAACUCCCUCAUAUCUUAUUAAAAAAAAAUCAGUAUUUACUGAACAGAUUCUGUAUCAGAAAACAGAGCACAAGGUGUAUCUUCAUGAAAUAAAACAUGAAACACGCAGUCAAUGAUUUUAUUAUUUGGCAUUAGGAUAUCAAAGAAGUUUGUAAGAUUGUUUUUCCAGCAUAAAUUCCUUGGCAUUGCUUGAGAGAGCAUCUCAAACAGCGUGAAUAACAAACACAUUGUUAAAAUUUUCUCUUACCAGUGUUCUGACUUUCGUCUUUGAUCUUAUGAAUUUAGGCCAACACUUUGUUUUCUGUUUCUGUCCUGUAUACUCCGUUGGCAGGCAACACUUAAAAGCCCUGCGAAGAGAAACUUUGUGGGUGAAGACAAAUAAAG